UUGUUUCUUUUUCUUCAUCGAUGUCCUUGGCUCCCUCAUUCCUUCUCUCAUACCAAAGCACCAAAUAAUAAAACCCUAGCUGCUUCUCCAAUCUCCCCGUCGUUGUGCCCUCUGUCUUCAUGUGUCACUAUCGUCAUCUCACUUGUUAUCGUCUCACUUACUGAUAUGCGGCUCUAAUUGCUCCCAUCUUCAGCAAGGAGUGAACAUAUUUUUCAGAGCGGUCUCCUCUCUUGAUAAUGGUAGCAAGGGCAUGAACACAAGAAAGACCUGUGAGUUGCCAAUUGUUGUAUGUGCACUUAUUUUGGCCUAAGUGUACGGAUAGCUUCUUAGAUCUCUGUUGAUCCUCAAAAAUUUUGCGCUCAUCAUCACCAACCCAAAUUGAAAACCAAUACCUAACAGCCUUCGCAAAAUCGUCAAGUCUCUUCUGUUGCACAGGUGCUAAGUCAGUGCUCGUGUGUGUUGAUAAAACCAUCUUAUACUUGGUCAUCCUCCUCAUAAUGAAGCAUCGUAGUUCUUCGCAAAUUGUGAGUAUUGGUUUCGAGCGAUAAUUGACGAUCUUCACGUUCCAAAGGUUGUCUGCUUUCGGACUAAGAGAAAAGUGAGCCUUAACCCUAAGCACUUCUGCUUCGAAUUCUGCUUCUAUCUCUUUCUCUGCAGCUUCUCAGAGCCCUACGAAAUCAAAGUGAAGAAAGAAGAACUUGUUCGAGCUCGCUCAGUUCCUACCUAACUGGGGAAUCGGAUACCACAUGACCAAGACUCGCUGGAAAGAAGUUUCUUAUGAAAUCACCAAAAUCAAUCUCUACAAGGAUGAAAGACAUGGCAAGGCAUAGGAAAUUACUUUUAAAAAUGGUGAGGUAGGGAGCAAUCAUGAUGAUUCCAUUGUUGAUUUUAUCAAAGGAAAAAUGAAUUCAAAGGAAGCUGCACAAAUUCCCAGAAGAACUACAAGGUCUUUAACUUCAUCUUCUGCACAAAAUUUUGCUUCAUCUUUAGUUAAAUUUUGUUUGUUUUCUAUUUUUUUUUUGUCUUUAGUUUCAUCCUAUGUUACUAUUAGUUAACUGGUUUCAAUUUCAUUCCUUGGGUUUGAGUUUCUUCUCCAAAAUCCCUAGUUGAAUCAUGGAUAAGAGCAUGUUAGCUGGUUUAGAAUCACUUCUAGAAGCUGAUCAACAAAGAAUGGCAUCCAUGAUAGAAUAGGUUUAAAUUUGUGACAGAUUCAAGUUGCAUUUUGAACGGACGAAAUUAGGAGAACUCCUCCAACACCACAAGAUGAGAUGAGAGCAAGAAUGAGCUACUUACACGAUAAAUGAAGAAUAUAGGGAUAAAUGAGCGGGUAAUCAAAUAGCGAGUGACUCCUGAAGUGAUAAGGGAUGUUUCUUUACUAGCUAGAAUGAUGGCUGCUAAUUUGUAUUAUUCCCAGAUAAAAGAUCUUAUGUUUGAAGUAAUUUAUUUUUAGAGAAAUAAAUUUUAUUUUUAGAGAAAUAAUUUAUUAUUCCCAAAUAGAAGAUUUUAUGGCUACUAAUUUAUUAUGGCAACCUAAAUCUUGUUUAAGGAUAAUUUUUAUUAUUUAAAAAAUAAUUACAUAGUA